rnacentral:tRNA from 1 species
GCGUGGUUUCAGUGGUAGAGCAUUCGACUGCAGAUCGAGAGGUCCGUGGUUCAUCACCGCGUGACCC